rnacentral:hammerhead_ribozyme from 1 species
GGAUGGCUGAGGAGUCCCACAAUAGGACGAUACAGCCGUCCGGUGC